UUUUUCCCCUUUUCUUUUUUUUUUCUGGGUGAAAAUGGCUGCCACUCUCAUCCAAACCUCUGCGUAGAGGAUUAACUGAGCGUUGAAAUAUGCAGCAGACCCGCUUCGAGACAACACUCGCAGACGCCAGGGCGUAGUUAGUGCUGCGCCUUCACAAAGAUGUUGUGGCCGUCAGGGAGAGGAAGUGUAGACGAGUCGAAAUUAACCCUUUCCACUCCAACGUCCACCAACAAAUGAGUGCUAAAAAGGCCUGUGUGGGCCACUAGAAGUCAGCUACUAAAAACUGGGUUGUUUGUCAGUAAAACACGUGGCUUUUCUAGCUCAUGUAUUUCUGUGUACCCCAACAGAAAAUGAUGCACCAAGUGACCACCAGCAGCAGUGACUAUUGCAUGAGUGCACUGACAGAGGACUGUCAUCCAGGCAGCCACUUUGAUUUAUGUAGUACACAGUCCAACAAAUUCUACCCCUCUCCGACAAACCCUGGUUUGCAGCUGUCCCUCGCCAGCCUUGCCCCUUUGCCACAGGGCAUGCACAAAGCCAUGGCGUGCCAGUUACAAGACGCCCAGAAUGACUUCCAGUCACAGGCGGUGAGAAUCAGAGCCGGUGAAGCUCUAGGGCCUGAGGGCUCUAAGAAAAAGAAGGGCACGGCGAAGUCAGGGCGGAGAGGGAGGCCAUCGGGGACCACAAAGUCAGCUGGGUACCGUACAAGUACUGGGCGUCCACUUGGGACAACUAGAGCAGCCGGUUUCAAGACAAGCCCAGGUAGGCCCCUUGGAACCACCAAAGCUGCAGGAUAUAAGGUGAGCCCUGGGAGACCGCCCGGCAGCAUCAAGAGCCUCACUCGCCUCAAGAAGCUAGAAUUCGGAUGCGACGGCACCAGGAAGCUGGACUUUAGCAACUGCAGUGCUCCCAAGAAGCUGGACUUCACUACCUGUGAUGUUUCAUCUUUUCCAUACACCAUGAUGGAGAAAAGAGACCUCUGUGAGCCCGGUAGCAAUAAAGUGGAUGAAACCACAGAGAUAAAUUCUGCAGCUGCUUCCCCGGUGUUUGAAAAACAUUUGGUUGCAUGAACAAGAGGACUAGAAGGAAUUGUGGCAUUUCAUGUAUGCUGGGAGAAAAAGUUGUUUUUUUCAUUUACAGUGGUUCUAAGUUUUCAUUGUACAGUGUUUGGCAUUCUCAUCAUCCUCUCCUAAUAAACGGCUGAAUCACAAAUAUGUUGCUCCAGUAUGGCAGAGGUGCAUGCACAUGAAAUAACACCAGUCAGUAUAGUUAGUUUGUGGUUCAGACCUCAGUAACCCUGAUGUAUUUGGUUCCUCUGAAUUGUGACAUGUUCUCUUACUCUGUUCUAAGACAUGAAUAUGUUUGUUUGUGUGACAUUUUCUACAUGCAUAAACAUUUUAGAACAAAAAAAAAAAUCAAUGAAACCAAAUCCUUCCCGAGCAUAAAUAUGUAACCGUGUAGUCGUUCUUUGUGUUUUGUCCGCUUGUCUGAUAUGUGGUUUAUUUUGUGAUACAAUCCAGCAUCUUAUCGAGAGCAGGAGCCCUGCGGUACGUUUUUAUUGACUCAAACUGGGAAAGCUUAAAGCAUAAUACCCCCUUUGUUUCUGCACUUUGUAAAUAUAGUUUGCAUCAUGUAUUGUAACAGCCUGUUUCCAUAUCCACAGUCACUUGAUAAGCACUUCCACUUGUGCAUGUAUGUUAGACUGAUCAGUAGAGGGGGGAACGACUAAUGCUUUGUGGCAUAUGUAAUAAUAAUAAUGAUUUCCUGUAUGUGAAACCAAAAUAAAAGAAACAAAUGGUCUUUUUCA